AUCAACCCAGCUAGCCGCCGGUCUCCAGUCAACGCUUCAAAAAGGGGGAACCCUCGCAGUUGGACCGCGUGGCGCGUACCCCUCUCUCUCUCUCUCUCCCGCGUUUUCCCGGAAAAUUCACCUACUUUGUCCCCAUCUCUGAAUAUAUAUAUAUAUAUACCAGGCAGCCUCAGAUUUUCAUCAGAUCCUCUGAUUUUCCUGUUUCUCCGACUUUGCUUGAUUUCUGCUUUCUUCAUCUCUCUUCAGUUUCGUUCCUUAGUUUUGGAAGAUGAAUUCCAUCGGAUUCUUCUAUCUUUCGAUCAUCGGCUUGAUGUUCGCGGCUCUUUUGCAGCUUACUCGUGGACAGGGAUUAGCUCCUUCGCCGGCGCCAAACGGCCCGGUCAGUGAUGGCUCAGCGAUUGAUCAAGGAAUUGCUUAUGUCCUCCUACUCGUGGCACUGGCCAUCACAUACCUCAUCCAUUGAUGCUCAUCUUCUCGAGGAUUCUCUGCCACUUUUUCUAUCAUCUUUUUCUAUUUUUUUGUAAUCAUUCUCCAUGCAUUUAUUUGGAGAAAUAUUAACUAUUUUGUAAAAAUAUAGAGAGUUAUUAAUAUUAAUUUGAUUUAUUAUUGAUUA